GAAGUAGUGCCGCGUUCAAAAGAACUGGGAACUCGGGAAAAAAUACGAUGUUAAAUCAUGACGUCAUUGAUCUUCAGGUCGGAAAAGUCGGAGUUGUAUAGGCCGGAGUUCCAUAGUUGGAAUUUGGUUUGAUGACCGUUCAAAUCGUUUUUUUUCCAGUCGAGCUCGUUUUUUUUUCAGAGUUCCCAGUUGUUUGAAACCCACUGAAGUCGGAAGUCGAAGAUUUCCGAGUUCCGAGCUCACAGUUCUUUUGAACGCGGCAUAGACUAUUGUUUAUUAUCACCUUCCGGAUUCUUAGAAACUUCCCCUGUUACAGACGCGCCAUCGACUUAUCAGUUCAAUGGAGGAACCAUUAUUUUCUGUUUACGGGGAUUUCGUCGACUGGUCUCUCCAAACUGCUUGGGAACAGAAUGACGCCGAGGUGGACAGUGCGUUUGGAGACUGGAGUUCUGCCUGUAAUGGCAACAAGUCGGAUGCAGUUGAAAGAUCUUCAUCUCUGUCUUCACCCAUGGACAUGGACAUCUCUAAACUCUCAACAAAGCUGGAGAAUGGCAAUGUGAAGAAAUCAUGUGUAGUUUUCCAGGAGUGCUUCCAGGUCUUGGGUGAAUCUAAAGAGACCAACUGUACUGUACGAUCUCUGUCCCAGCUGCUAGAAAACACACAGCCUUUUCAACCAACAGCUACAAUAUGUGACUGUGGCAGCUUGUGGAGCCAUCUGGUGGCUGAGCCCAGCAGGCUGAGGCUGUCAGAGCCAAAGCCCAGCUUACACUGCCACAGCCACAGCAGAAUGGUUUCUGCCCUCAGAAUCACACCCUCAAAUUGCAUCUCUGACCAGGUGAGAUGGGUAGGUGGGGAAUGGGGUCCUUUUAAAAUGAAUACACCCAGCCUAGUUGGAUGAAUGUUUUUACGUUUUGUGAAACAUUUUGGGUUAUUAAUUGGAAAUACAAUAGUUAGGUCCAAAAUAAUUGGCACUGUUGAUAAAAAUUAGCAAACAAAUCUGAGCUAUAUUGUAUCUGUCCCAAAAAUAGAAAAUUAUAGUAUUUUAUACGAAUACAAUUGCUGGGAGGAAGAGAUUUUCUUUCCUUCUUUGCCUAAAAUUACAUACCCAAAUCUAACUGCCUGUAGAUCUGGGCCUGAAGCAAGGAUAUGCAUAUUCUUGGUACCAUUUCAAAGGAAACACUUUGAAGUUUGUGGAAAAGUGAAAGGUAUGUAGAAGAAUAUAACACAUUAGAUCUGGUAAAAGAUAAUACAAUCUUUGAAAUGCAAGAGAACGGCCAUAAUGUAUUAUUCCAGCCAAGGUGCGAUUUAGAUUUGUGUGUGUGCAAAGUUUCAGACUGAUCCAAUGAACAUUUUAAUUUCUGUAAAAAUUAUGUAUCAACUGUGCCUAAUUUGUCAUUAAUAACUUUUCAUGUUCAAAACUUUGCACUCUCCUCAAACAAUGGCAUGGUAUUAUUUCACUGUAAUAGCUACUGUGAAUUGGACAGUGCAGUGAGAUUAACAAGAAUUUUAGUUUUCUGCCAAUAUCAGAUAUGUCUAUGUCCUGGGAAAUGUUCUUGUUACUUACAACCUCAUGCUAAUCGCAUUAGUUUAGAUCAACCGUCCCGCAGGGGACCCACUAAUCCUGAAGAAGUUUUAACAAGUAAUAAAAAUAAAAACUCUCAAAGAUAGGGGUAAAUAUUAUUGGCAUCCAUGUUUUCAAUACUCCAGGACCCUCCCCUUGUAAACUUAAAUGGUAAUCUCUAUUCUAUUAUCUAUAUUUAUAUGAUUUCAAUUGGUUUCCUAUGGAGGAGUGACUUAAAACAACAGAUAUUUCCAUUCAAGUCAAUAUUAUCUGAAGUGUGGGCCUCCAACCAUCUUUGUGGUACCAUUUGAAAGUUGAAAUUUCAAUUUCAUUCCCAUUUUAUCAGCCAAACAUUACACCCACCCUGUAUUCAAGAGCAUGUUGUUUCAACUGAUGGCGGUAUGUUCCCCAAUGCUGGAAGGGAGGGGGGGCCUGAGUAAUAAAGUUUGGAAACCCCUGCUCUAGAUGAUGCUCCAAGAUUCCACACUGGAGGAAAUAUAUUUGCCAAGUCGUCUGCCUUGUGUUCUGCAUAGACAAUGCAGUGCCUUCAGAAAGUAGUUCUACCCCUUGAGUUAGUCCACAUUUUGUUGUAUUACUGCCUGAAUUCAAAAUGUAUUCAAUGUAUUUUUUUCUCUCACCCAUCUACACACAAUACCCCAUAAUGACAAAAUGAAAUGCAGAAACAUGUCAUUUACAUAACUAUUCACACCCCUGAGUCAAUACAUGUUAGAAUCACAUUUGGCAGCGAUUACAGCUGUGAGUCUUUCUGGGUUUGUCUCUUGGAGCUUUGCACAAUAUUUGCAAAAUAUACAUUUUUUUAAUUCUUCAAGCUCUUUCAAGUUGGUUGUUGAACAUUGCUAGACAGCCAUUUUCAAGUCUUGCCAUGGAUUUUCAAGUUGAUUUGAAGUCACAACUGUAACUAGGCCACUCAGGAACAUUCAAUGUCAUCUUGGUAAGCAACUCCAGUGUAUAUUUGACCUUGUGUUUUAGGUUAUUGUCCUGCUGAAAGGUGAAUUUGUCUCCCAGUGUCUGUUGGAAAGCAGAGUGAACCAGGUUUUCCUCUAGGAUUUUGACUGUGCUUAGCUCUAUUCCAUAUAUUUUUAUCCUAAAAAAAUCUCCAUAGUUCUUGCCGAUAACAAGCAUACCCAUAACAUGAUGCAGCCACCACCAUGCUUGAAAAUAUGAACACUGGUACUCAGUGAUAUGUGUUUUUGGAUUUAGCCCAAACAUAAUGCGUUGUAUUUAGGACAUAAAGUUAAUUUCUUUGCCACAUUUUUUGCAGUAUUACUUUAGUGCCUUAUUGCAAACAGGAUGCAUGUUUUUUAAUAUUUGUAUUCUUUACAGGCUUUUUUCUUUUCACUAUGUCAUUUAGGUUAGUAUUGUGGAGUAACUGCAAUGUUGUUGAUCCAUCCUCAGUUUUCUCCUAUCACAGCCAUUAAACUGUAACUGUUUUAAAGUCACCAUUGACCUCAUGGUGAAAUCCCUGAGCUGUUUCCUUCCUUUGUAGUGACUGAUUGUAUUGAUACACCAUCCAAAGUGUAAUUAAUAACUUCACCAUGCUCAAAGGGAUACCCUUCUUUGUGAGGCAUUGGAAAACCUCCCUGGUCUUUGGUUGAAUCUGUGUUAGAAAUUCACUGCUUGACUGAGGUGCCUUAAAAUUAUAUGUAUGUGUGGAGUACAGAAAUGACGUAGUCAUUAAAACAUCAUGUUAAACACUAUUGCACACAGAGUGAGCCCAUGUAACUUUAUUAUGUGACUUGUUAAGCAAAUCGUUACUCCUAAACUAUUUUAAGCUUGUCAUAGCAAAGGGGUUGAAUAAUUAUUGACUCAAGACAUUUCAGCUUUUAUAUUGUAAUUCAUUUGUAAACGUUUCUAAAAACAUAAUUCCGCUUUUACAUUAUGGGAUAUUGUUUGUACUACAGUGACACAAUCUACAUUUAAUCCAUUUUAAAUUCCGGCUGUAACACAACAAAAAUUGGAAAAAGUGAAGGAGUGUUAAUACUUUCUGAAGACACUGGGUUCUAUAUCUGUGGUCUUUCCCUUCCAUAGUGGGAGUCUGUCUUUUUGGAAGAUCAUGAAGAAACUACAGAGACCUCUUGCCCCCCUGCUGCUGCUCUCAUCAAAACCAAGCUGCUGGCCCCCUCCUCCUGCCAUGGUGACACCCCAGCUUUCCUCUACCAAAUCUCCCAGCAGUGGCUGACUCAAUGCAGCAUCCAGCUGCAGCCUCAGCACCACAAGAAGCCUCCUGCACUGAACUAUGGAGAAGGAUAAGAUGAAGAUGCUGCUUAGCAUAGCCCUACUGUACUGUUGUAGAUGGAUGAAACGGGUUGGGUUGAUACCCGGGUGAGAACAAAGUAUACACUUUUCGCAACAUUUUAUUUAUACAGAUUGUAAAGAAAGUACAUUCUAUGAUAUUGUGUAUUUAGUUUGCAGGCGUUUUCCUGGUUUUAUAUAUAAUAUUUUGAUACGGAGUGCAGUUACAGUGAUACUAUAAAAUGUUCUAUAAAUGUAUUGAGUUAUUUAUUCAGUGUAACACCUGUUUUAUACCACUAUUGUCAAGAGCAGAGGGAACAAUGCAAAUCUUUGGAAGUCACAGCACUCCACUAGAGGGCAUACUGGCUUCCUCAUAAGUCCCAACCCCCAUUUUGCAAACAUACAGUGCAUUCAGAAAGUAUUCAGACCCCUUGACUUUUUCCACAUCUUGUUACGUUACAGCCUUAUUCUAGAAUUGAUUACACAUUUUGUUUCUCAUCAAUCUACACACACUACCCCAUAAUGACAAAGCGGAAACAGGUUUUUAGAAUUGUUGGCAAAGGUAUUAAAAACAGAAAUACCUUAUUUACUUGUGCCGAAUACAACAUGUGUAAACCUUCAGACCAUGCACCUCAACAAUGAACACCUCAAGAAACAAGCUUUGUCCAUAUAUUUUGUUUUGUAGAAUACCCAACUCCAAGUCUCACUGUAGAAACCUGGCUUGCGAUCUAGGGCAGUGCAUGGACCCAGAAAAAAAGUAAUUGGGUGUGUCUUCCCACUGUGGAUACAUUUUUAUGGAAAUUUGGAUUGCUUGUGCUUUAACUAUUUAUGGCAUCACAUUAUUGGUGUCCUCCACUUCUUAAUAUUUCCUUAGAUUGGUCCUCUGUUUUUCUUAACCUGCCUUAAUACUCAAAACCAUAGACAUGUGUCAUGUCAUUGGCCAUUUUGUAAGUAAGACUGCAGGGCAUCAUGGAGCUAAUCAGCACAAACCAGUAUAACAGAGAGGUUAUUACAUGUGUACAACUGCAUCUCAGACAGUUCUCUUACAUUUCAACCACCAGGAUUUGCUUUUCCAGACAGAGAAAACAAGAGGUUAGUGAAGGUGCACACUCCUCCCAAAUGUCACUUGUUUGGCUGGCGGGUUGAGUCUGUGAAUAGAAUUGAAAUACUGAGAGAAAAACCGUCACCUUUUUACAAGUAGGCCCCUCCUACAUGACAAGUGAUGUAGGCCCUACACUCCCCCCCCCCCUCUCUCUCUCUACUAUCUCCUCUCAGCUAGUGCACUAGCGGGAUGUCAGAGUGAAUUUAGAUUACAUCUCGUUGCAGUGCAGUUGCGGGAAAAAGGCAAAGGGACGGAAGGAAGGAUGAUCUUGGGUUGUAUUGUGCCUUAUAUGUCACACACACAGAGGAAGGCAUUGGUGCAUUGGACCAUCUUUUUUUGGGGUGGGAUGGUCAAAAUAAAUGAAUAAUAAUACAAAUAAUUGACUUUUUUAAGGGAGAUGGCCCUUGGGCCUGUUAAGAUGAUGAUUUUUGUGCAAUUUCUCUAUUGUCAUAUUAAUAUAUUUGAGCAUUUGCCUGAUCAGUGGACAACGUCCAGUCCCCCCUACCAAGAUAGGCCUGCCCGGUUUUCUGAUUGGCUGAUGUGGCGCAAAAUUCACGUUCAAAGUCAAACACACAUCAGCAAAGAGACCUUGCUCUGACUCUCUUGUCAUUAGUCAGACCAGAUCACGGCUCGUAAAAAAAAAACAGAAUGGUAGUACCGAAAAAAGUUAAGAGACCAAAAUAAGGCUUGAGGCUACAGCUGCUUAAUGUAUGAAAUUAACCAACUCAUUUUCUAAAAGAUCUGGUUCGGCUGGUCCAAGUGUUGUGACAGAUGCUGCUACAGAAGACAGUGCAGUCGAGGUAUGGAGAAAACCUACCUACUGUGUUACUCUUUCUCAGUCUUCAUCCAAAUUCCGACAGGUUUUAAUGCGAAUAUUCAAAAAUCAGCAUAACAACUCCAAGGGGUUUCCAUCAAAUGGACUUGUUGCGGAUAAAAGGCUGUGCGUGAUGAUGUAGUGCACAAAAAUAUACCUUUUCCAUUUCAUUUUCAAUUUAACUGAUGAUUUUCUCACAAAAAAAGUAAAUUAUACAGCGAGUGUGCCCACUGGUAUUGGCUCGUGCGCACUAACCAACAGCUUGCAGACACUGUGCAAGUAGGCCAAUAGCCUAUGGAUGAGAUUAUUAUGGACAAGAUUAUUUCUAUUUGUCAAAUGGCAUCGAUUAUCAUGUCACCAGAAUAAGACCCUUUAUGUUUAUUGGAAAGGAGCACAUCACCUUGCACUUUUCACCAUCCUGUGAAGUUCAUAAUUUAUACUGAACAAAAAUAUAAACCCAACAUGUAAAGUGUUGGUCCCAUGUUUCAUGAGCUGAAAUAAAAGAUACCCGAAAUGUUCCAUUCACACUAAAAGUUUCUCUUAUCUUUUGUGCACAAAUUUGUUUACAUCUGUUAGUGAGCAUUUCUCCUUCUCAUUCUCUCCAAGAUAAUCCAUCUACUUGACAGGUGUGGCAUAUCAAGAAACUGAUUAAACAUAAAAGGCCACUAUUAUGUGCAGUUUUGCAACACAACACAAUGCCACAGAUGUCUCAAGUUUUGAGGGAGCGUUCAAUUGGCAUGCUGACUGCAGGAAUAUCCACCAGAACUGUUGCCAGAAAAUGUAAUGUUAAUUUCUCUACCAUACGGCGUUUUAGAGAAUUUGGCAGUACGUCCAACCGACCUCACAACCACAGAACACGUGUAUGGCAUCAUGUGGGUGAGCGGUUUGCUGAUGUCAACAUUGUGAACAGAGUGCCCCAUGGUGGCGGUGGGGUUAUGCUAUGGGCAGGCAUAUGCUACAGACAACAAACACAAUUGCACUUUAUCGAUAGCAAUUUGAAUGCACAGAGAUACCGUGAUGAAAAUCUGAGGCCCAUUUUUUUCAGUAAUCUGUGACCAACAUAUCUGUAUUCCCAGUCAUGUGAAAUCUAUAGAUUAGGGCCAUAUGCAUUUAUUUAAAUUGUCUAUGUUCCUUAUGAACUGUAACUCAGUAAAAUCAUUGAAAUUGUUGCAUGUUGCAUUUAUAUUUUUGUUCAGCAUAAUAGCUAUUAAUACUUUAGGAGUGACAGGCAGACAGACAGGCAGACAGAGUGAUAGAGGAGAA
ensembl:lncRNA